UGUCUUGGAAGAGGGUGCAGAGGAUUCUGACAAUUUUGUCAUCCCUGGUGGGAUCUGCAACAAUUGGGUCGCUGUGGAUGUUCCUACAGUCAUCCAUAAGUCAAAGUAAUGACUCACUUUGUUUAAAAACCCUUCUCCCAUGCCAAAAGGAGAAGUGAUGACAUUGUUGGCAACAUUUAAUACAAUGAUAUUUUCAUUCAAUAAAUUCAUGUUAAA
rnacentral:lncRNA from 1 species